rnacentral:lncRNA from 1 species
AGACGCAGUUUGGCGGCUGUGGGGAUUUGCCGGAAGGUUAAUAAUGUCCAUGGGCACAUCGGCCUCCUCCUUUCUUAUUCUCUCCCAAGUGUAAUUCCAGGACGCCCCCUGAGCGCAGAUUCAUCCAGGCAUUUGGCCUAGAGGCCCGCGGAGGAGAAAUAAAGUACAGGCCUGGUAGGACCUUUGAGAACCUGGGCUUCAGCUACAAAACCAGAGCCCCAGUCCUUCAUCUGCUGUCUCCUCAAGCUCUUUUCAGUGUAUUGUGGAGUUCAUUACCACUCUAAGCUCGCACGGAAGUGUACACCAGCUUCGUGAUCUUAAAAGCAAAACAAAAUCAAAUGGACUAGGAAUUAACUUGAAGCAGAGUUGUGACACUUAAGUGGUUUCUUGCCAUCAGUUUCCACGCACUGCUUUAAGAUGCAAUUUUACAAGGUAGAGUUUUUUAGAUAAUUUGACCUCAAGAAAUAUAUUAAUUUUGUCUUUAAGUUGAACGAAGUAAAAUGUUUUUAAUAUUUUAAAAUAUUAAUUGAUACAAUUUAACUGUUAAUAAUGCCUGUGUGUAAAUGAAAGGAAUAGGAAAGAUGGAACUAAAACUAAAAACCAGGAGGUUUAAAGGAGACCUUAGAUUUGACUUAGUAGAUUUCAACUAUUUUCUAAAACUCUGAAAAUUCAUUAUAUCUAAUUAUUUCUAAUUUUCCAGUAAAAUCUGAAUGCCUCACAAGAGAUUCCUGAAAAUUUAUCAGCUCCCAAGAGCUGGUGUAGGCUAGCUCCAUCACACCACUAGGAGUUACCAUUGGGGUUGCCUGGAAAGGGAAAACAACACAUCUUCUGGUGUACCAGAAAUGUUCUGUCUUCUGCUCUUUCUGGGUGUGUUCAAAAAUUCAUGAAGGCAGGCUGGGCGUGGUGGCUCGCACCUGUAAUCCCAGCACUUUGGGAGCCUGAGGCAGUGCAUCACUCGAGGUCAGGAGUUCGAGACUAGCCUGGCCAACAUGGUGAAACCCCAUCUCUACUAAAAAUACAAAAAUUAGCCGGGCGUGAUGGCGGGUGCCUGUAAUCCCAGCUACUUAGGAGGCUGAGGCAGGAGAAUCACUUGAACCCAGGAGGUGGAGGUUGCAGUGAGCCGAGAUUGUGCCAUUGCGCUCCAGCCUGGGCAACAGAGCGAGACUCCAUCUAAAAAAGAAAAAAAAAAAAAAACAUGAAGGCAUAUGCUUAUUUAUGCACUUUUCAGUAUGUGUGUUUUAUGUCAGUAACAAAGAAAAUGUACAUAUAAAUGAUCAGAUUUAUUAAGCUUUCCACCAACAAUUUUUUAUUUUUUAAAGUUGGCAAUAAAAUUAAGAAAGUAGUUUAGAAAGAAUUGAAUUGCUAAAUUCCAAAUCUCCCAAAACCGUUGUAAAUGAAAGGGAUAGGAAAGAUAGAACUAAAAGUCAGGAGAGAUUAAAGAAGACCUUAGAUUUGACAAAGCCAAUUUCAGUUAUUUUCUAGAACCCUGAAAAUAGAUUACAUCUAGUCAUUUCUAAUUUUGUUGGUAAAAUCUUAACGGUCAAGUUGUCAAGUUAGCAUACAUUAGCAAAACUCUCAGCAUGAGUCUAGCCAAAAGUUCACCAUUCAUAUCUGUGGCCUUAAUAGCACAGCUAAGAACCACAGAAAAGUUAUCAGUGCUGACAAUGUAAAGCAAAGAAGUUUAAAAAGUUAAUAAAUUUAAGCAUGUAAUAUCAAAUUUUGCAGUGGUUUGAGUCUGUGACAUGAAUCGAUUAUUCUUUGAAAACAAACAAUACUUAUGAAUAGAGAGGAACUUUUUCAUCUGAUGAAGGACAUCUGUGAACUAUCUCCAGCUAACAUCAUUUUCAAUAGUGAAAAAUUGAUUUUUCCUUAAGAUUGGAAGGAGGCAAGGAUAUUUGCUCUCACUAUGUCUAUUCAGUAUUAUACUGGAGGUCUUAACAAGUGCAAUAAGGCAAGAAAAAGAAAUAAAGGCAUAAUGAUUUCAAUGAAAGAAAUAAAGCUGUAUUCCCAGACAACAUACAAUUUCCAGACAUCUACAAUGAAAACUAUAUAACAUUACUGAGAGAAAUUAAAGAAGAUCCAAAUUAAUGGAGAUUAUGUACCAUAUUAAUGGAUUAGAAGACCCA